UUGACCUCGGAUCAGGUAGGAAUACCCGCUGAACUUAAGCAUAUCAAUAAGCGGAGGAAAAGAAACCAACAGGGAUUGCCCUAGUAACGGCGAGUGAAGCGGCAACAGCUCAAAUUUGAAAUCUGGCCUCGGCCCGAGUUGUAAUUUGCAGAGGAUGCUUCUGGCGCGGUGCCCUCCGAGUUCCCUGGAACGGGACGCCACAGAGGGUGAGAGCCCCGUAUGGUCGGACACCAAGCCUGUGUGAAGCUCCUUCGACGAGUCGAGUAGUUUGGGAAUGCUGCUCUAAAUGGGAGGUAAAUCUCUUCUAAAGCUAAAUACCGGCCAGAGACCGAUAGCGCACAAGUAGAGUGAUCGAAAGAUGAAAAGCACCUUGAAAAGGGGGUUAAAUAGUACGUGAAAUUGUUGAAAGGGAAGCACUUGUGACCAGACUUGGGCCGGGCGGCUCAUCAGGGGUUCUCCCCUGUGCACUCCGCCCGGCACAGGCCAGCAUCGGUCUUCGCGGGGGGACAAGACCGCCGGGAACGUAGCACCCUCCGGGGUGUGUUAUAGCCCGGCGGACGAUACCCCCGCGGGGACCGAGGUCC
rnacentral:rRNA from 1 species